UAAUAAUUACCUAAAUAAUUAUAUCUAAAUUAUCUAAAGAUACACAAAAUUGGUAGAUUUUUGACCUGCUUCAGUGUUCAUCUUUAAUUAAAUAAUUCUGGUUCUCUAUAACAAUUAUAUGUCUAUGACUUAAAAUUGGUUAUGUUGUAUCUGAGUAAACUGCUAACCCAAAACUUCUCCCCUAUUCUAUUUUUCAUGCCCUAAUUAGAGCAUUUUCUAACAAAUAAAACUAAAAAACCACCAAAUUAACACUAUCUUGUGCUUCUUGUUAGUUCAAUAUAAUUAUGGAACUUAACACUAAAUGGUAAUUGUACUUAAUGUUGAGCACAGCAGUAUUUUUACAACUUCAGAACAAAUCAAAUUAGCAUUUUAGUCAAAUAAAGUCAAUUGUACUUAAAAUUUACUACUUGAUGCAUUUAGACUAAUGUUUUACAGUGACCUAAUGCCUGCUGGACAUAGACCCUGCUUUUAGGAUUCAUCUGCCUGAGUGUCAAUGGGAUUGCUGAGCAAUCUGAGGGAUUGCUCUUCUAGAAUGCAGUUUGUCUUAUUUGCAAAUAGAUCUCUAAAAAUAGGUCAGAUGAAUUGUAGCUUCAGAAUGAUUAUUUCAUUCCACUGAUUAUAAAUUUUUUAUUUAAGUGGCUGAUCAUCCCAUAAAUCCCAUGAUGAAAUUUCUCAUUGUAUUAUCUAUUUUGGAGGUCCCAGGUGUAAGAAGAUAUUAAAUUAGAUUUUUUUAUAUAUAGUAGACAAAACUCUAAGUUUUUAAUUAGAUAACUAACAUAGAAACAGAAUGAGUAAGAUUGAAAUAAAACUUAUACUGUUCAGAGAAAUGUCCUAACUAUUUAAGCAGGUCCUGUUUGCAAAAUCUAAAAGAUCAGAUCAUAAUUUUCUUAAAUAAUUUUAUUUAAGAUUCAAAAGAAAUUUCCAGUAAAAUCACUAAUCAUCAAAUUAUUGUAAAAGUUUAUAAAUGAAGAAGACCAUUUAAACUAGUAGAACAUGUGAAAGUCAAUUGUAAAACUGAAUAUUAAUAGGAUUUGUUGCCUUUUUUUAUCCGAGCCACUAUGCAACACAGGCCUUAUGUUUUUCCUCCAUUGCAGUUAAGAGCAGCGAUAAUAAAAUAAUUAAAGCUCCAGAUAAUAAAAGCUAAUAAAACAAAAACAGUAUUCUGGAUAAUGAGGGGUCACCCUCACAGACAGAGAUGAAGCAUUUCAUUCAGAACCCAGGUUUGUUUUUUAUAUCCAAAGAGGUAUGUCAAAAAACUAUCAAGUCAUAACAUGUGUGUGCCCAUAUGUACAUAUAUAUCUGAGUUGCAAUAAUUUAUAUAUGUAUACAAAUAUCUAUAUAUAUACAUGCACACGUUGUCAGGACUUAAAGAGUGAAGUGAAAUAUCUCAAGACACUGUCAGGGAAGGAAGUUCCCACAAAAUAAAACCCCACAAGGGGCAUAGAUGGUGAACAGGAAGGUAUUAAUUCCAUGCCUAAACUGAGGUGAAGGUUUGGAAUUAGCAGGGUGGACAAAACCCCACUGUGAUGUGGGAACUCGCAAGAAGGGCAGAAGGCAAUAGGAACAUUCCAAGCUGAGGCAGAUCUGGGUAGCCUAUCUGGACAAAAAUUCUCACCAUGACAAACUUGAGACAGGAAGCAAAUCCUUAUUCACAUGCCAGCCCAAGCUGUGGGAGUAGCAUCUAUGUUCUGAGGAUACCUGGGAGUUAGAUUGUAUAAAAGUGAUACCUCCAGAAGAGCACUCCAAGGAACCCUGCCAGCAAGAAGACCAGAAGAAGAAGGGAAGGAUGCCACAGAAACCCAUGUGGUGGUGACUAAUUUUAUACUUAACUUUUCUCUCCUCUCUCUCUGCCCUUCCUACCACACAUCUACUCUUAAAUAAGAUUCAUAUCCUGACACUGGCAUAUGGUCUCAUUUGCACCUUAAUUUGGGCAGAAGCACCUUUUGAUAAUCAUAUCCUAACAUGUGUGUAUGCAUAUAUGUUCAUUUGUCCAAAUGUAAACACAUAUAUCAUUGAAUCUACCUUGGAAUCUAUAUCAUCAUAUAUAUUCCUACAUCAUAGGAAUCUAUCUUGCCUCAGCACAAAGUAUUUGCUUGUUGAACCAAUCUAAUAUCUAAAUAUUUAGGUUCAAAUUUAAGUUUAUGAAGUUAGUUAUGUAAGUUAAUUGCAAAUUGCUAAUGCCAGUUUUGAUCCUAGCAUGUAGCAUUAUACAAAAUUUCUGCUUGAAAUAGCUCAUAGAUCUUACCUUCCCUUUCACAAUUUACUGCAAUAGAAAAAGAAAAAAAGAAACAAAAAAUACCACUAGCACCAGUACAGAAACCAACUAAAGGAGCAAAAUAAUUACAAAAAUUGAAGACAAGACCGGCUAUCCGACUUCCAACAAGUUUGUGUUACAAAGGACUCCUUACAUUUGCGUGAGCAACAUUCUGAAAUAUAGUCCAGUUUAUCUAAAGUAAAUAUAGUAGAGUGAAUCAGCCCAGUGAUAACCUGGGGAGUUAAAGAUCAUGUAUAGAGUAGGAAAAAAAUGUUGCUACUGUAAAUAAUAGAGUAAAAGCUGUUGGGUCUUAGCUCAGGUUUGAUCAGAGGACAGAUUUUCCACCUUCAGGAAUCAUUUGCAGAACUUUAGUUGCUCAAUCAUGAUGCUUCAAAUAUAAUUUUUCUGCCCUGUCCAGCACCACUCCUGUAUUUUUCACAUACUUGAAAGCCUCUCAUUGUGUGAUCCCUCUUCUCUCAUGCCAAUAUUAGGCCACUGAAAUUUCAGUGACUUUCAUGAAUUACACUUCAAUCUAAAGUGUUAAACAUUAUUCAUCCAGCCCACUACAUCUGUUUGGCUGUGUAUGUCAUCCAUGUGUGUCAUAACCAUGUACAAAUAUUCUAUAACUUAUACAGUAUUGAAGCAAUGUUUCCUGUGCAAUGCAACUAAAUACACUAAUUUAUUUCCAAAUUUAUUGCAGAACUCAAGUGGGUCACUACUGAAUUCCAACAAUAAAACUUCCUUUAACUGGAAGGCAGUUUCUCCUGCCACAAACAUCACUUGAAUUCCAAAACCUGUCUGGAUAGGUGAGGGGAGAGUAGUGGAAUGCUGUUUCCCAGACUUCAGUAAGGCUUUUGAUGUUAUCUCCCAUUAUAUCCUCAUAGACAAAGUCAGUAACUGAAGGCUUGACAAGCAGAGAUGGAUGGAGAAUGUCUGAACAGCAGAGCUCAGGGGGUUUUGAUCAGCAGCACGGAGAGCUGGAUGAAAACCCACAACAAGUGAUAUUCAAGAUAUACAAGGGAUUUGAUACUGAGUCCAAUCUUGUUCAACUCAUUCAUCAAUGACUUAGAUGAAGGGGUAGUGUGGGGGGAUCAGUGGUGGAGCUGGGCCAGCCAGCCCCACUGGGGAUCUCAGCUACCUUUCGAGGCUGGAAACAAGAGAGAAAUUUCCCUGGCUUUCCUGUUUCUAAAAUGUGGAAUUCACAGAGGCGGACCAAGCUUCCAAAUGGUUCAAGAGGAUGUCAACUUUCAGAGCCAGCCAGCCACUGGUUCCCUCCAGGCACAGAGGAAGCUCCUAGCAGCCUCUCACAGGAAAAUAAUUUCUGUGGGUGGUAUUUUCCUCCUUCCUGAAUAUCAAUUAAUGCGAAACCAGCACAGGUAGAUGCUUCCCAGCAAGUUGGCUGAUGGCAUAAGGCUGGGAGAAGUGUCAUCAGCAUACCCCAGAGGGCUGUGCAGCCCUUUAGAUGGACCUUGCCAGGCUGGAGAGUUGGGCAAAAAAGAACCUUCUGGAAUUCAACAGAGGCAAAUGCAGGGUCCUGCCCCUGGGGAGAAGCACAGGUUAGACCUGAUGGAAGGCAGCUCUGCAGAGGAGGAUCUGGUGGACAAGCAGCUCUGCAUGUACUUUCCAUGUGCCCUUGUGCCAAGAAGGCCAAUGGAAGAGCAUUGCCAGCAGGCUGAGGGAGGUGAUCCCGCCCAUCUCCUCAGCCCUAGUGAGGCCACAUAUGCUGUGCUGUGUCCAGUUCUGGGCUCCUCAGUACAAGAGAGACAUGGACAUCCUGAAGCAGGUCCAUCAAAGGGCUAUAAAAAUGAUUUCCUCUUAAAAGGAAAAGCUGAGAGAACUGGGCCUAUCCAGCUUUGAGAAGAGUCGACUGAGAGAAGACCUUGCCAAUGUCUAUCAGUAUCUGAAGGGACAGAGAUAAGAGGAUGGACCAAGCUCUGUUCAGUGGUGCUGAGCAAUAAGACAAGAGCAACUGGCAGCAACUCAUGCACAGCAAGUUCCACCUGAAUAUGAGAAAGUACCUCUUUAUUUUGUGAGUGACUGAGCAGUGGAACAGAUUCCCCAAAGAGAGGGUGGAGUCUCCUUUACUGGAGAUGUUUAAAGGCCAUCAGAACAGAUGGAAGGACAGAAUGUGCAGUGUGUAUUAUCUAAAGUUUCCAGAUAGAAACACUGUAUUUUCCAUUUACACCAGUUUCAAAAUGAUGUGGAAACCUUGAAGUUCCUCUGCUAACCAUCAAAGGAAAACAGUAUAUUUUGGCACUGCCUCCACUACUGAAGACAAAUUGUAAAAAUCUAUUUCUCAUGCUGCAGGAUUUUUCCAAGUAUCCCCAUUUUUCUGACGGAAAACCAGCUGGAUUAUACUGGCAAAGACCUCAGGAAGGCAGAACUAAUUGCUCCAAUUAUUACUGCAGAGCCAGAAAGACCUCUUCUACAUGUAAAUCAGAAGGGCAAAAAGACUAUAAAAGAAGGUAUUACAAGCACUAAAAAUGGGUUUUUAAAAAGAGAUCAACAGGUUUACAUUGCUCUUAAGGAAAGACAAUGAGAAUGUGCAGCAAUUUCUUUUGCUAUGUACAUGACAUGAACUCAGAACUAAAAAAUGCAAUUCAACCUCUGUUCAAGUCCAUGUUGGUAACAUUUCAGAUUGUCUGUAUUUCUCUUUAAAUCCAUGGAUCAAUAUCCAACAAGUCAACAGUCAAGUCAACAGUCUCAUACUUGGUCAGUAUAAGGCUCUGAUUAAAAAAAAAUACAAGCCCAGAUUUUUUCCAGGUUCUUAUACAUUUUGCUCUAUGUUAGGAUUAAAUGUGCAAAACUUAAGAGUUAUUUGAGGUGUUGGGAAGGCAGCAAAUGUCAAAGAUAGUAUUUGACCUAAUUAGAUGAUGCUUCUUGUGGUUUUGGGAUCCAGUCUAUAAAGGUCUUUAAAAUAAUUUGAUCAAGCCUUGGUCCAGAAACAUAGAACUACUCCACUAUGGUGAAAGUGACUGCUUCUGACUUGGCCAUUUAUAAAUACUUAGUUAUAUUGCUAUAUUUAUAUUUAUAUUUAGUUCCAUUUAACUAAAUUUAAGAAAAUUUAAGAAAAUUUAAGAAAAAUAAAUACAUUAGUUUAUGAUUUUUAAGUAAAUUGAAGACUACUCCAACAUUUGAAUUCAUAGUUCCUCUGCCUAUUCAGUCACUUCCUGACAUAAAUAUAGAAAGAGCAUUUGUAUGCUAUGUAAUGAUACUUGCCAUUUUCCUCAGAAAUAACAGUUCUCAGAUUCUUGCUACCCAAUACCUUAUAUGUGACAUUCUGCUUUUGCUUCAGGAGCUGAAACAAUCCAAAGGUAAGAAACUAAUAAGAAAGUGGAAAUUUCCUGGCACAGAGUUACUGACUUAUCUGUUCGAAACAAAACACUGGAUGAAGUCUGUGAAAUGUGGGUGCCUGAUCAAAGGUACAGAAGAAAUCACUGCUGAAGGAUGGAAAUGUUUUUACUUCUGUAAUUGUCAAGCACCUGAGUGGACAGCAGUUCCCAGAGCACCACUCACACUGAACCGAGAUGUUUGCAGUUUGUGUGUUGUUGAGCCCUUCAAAAAUCUUUCUCAACUAUUUCAUAGCAAAGAGUCAUAGAAUGGUUUGGGUUGGAAGAGAUCUUUAAAGAUCAUCUACCUCCAACCCCACCCCAUGACAGGACACCUUCCACUAGUCCAGGUUGCUCAAACCCUCAUCCAACCUAUCCUUGAACACUUCCAGGGUUAGGGAAACCACUUCUCUGGGAAACCUGAUCCAGUGCCUCUUAUGUUCAAUCUAAAUCUACUCUCAGUUUAAAACCAUUGUCACUGUAGGCCCUGGUAAAAAGUUUUCUACUUUUUUAUAACUCCCCUUUAUCUAUUUCAAGGCCACAACGAGGUCUCCCAGGCUGGACAAGCCCAACUCUUUCAGCUUCCCUCCAUAGGAGAGGAGUUCUGUCUCUGAUCAUUCUAAUGCAAGAAAGUUUCUCACCUGCAAUAAACCUAUUUUUAGCCUUGACAAACCAGACUUCAAAGUAUAGAUUUGUGCAUAUGCAAGAGCAUUUCCAAAUAUCAGUAACUGUGCAGUAAUUAUCUGUUAAUAACUUUCUUCAUCUGCCUUUUUUCUCCUCUUGUAACUUUCUUGUUGAAAUUCCAAUAUUAGAGCAUUUUUCUCUGAACAUGCUCGUAAGGACUAAUAUUGUACUUCUGAGAUUUCAACCUUCAGAUUUAAAAGAAAUAAAAAUGCUAGUUUUUUAAGGUGUGAGAUGCAGCAAGCCCUUAGCCUGUUCUUUGUCAUAGCACACUAAGUCCUGUGGUUUAAACAGUGUUGCUCUAGCCUAGUUAAAGAGCAAGUCAAAAUGAAUUCUUUUUUCUAAGUUUCAAUUACUCUGAGGAAUAUGGCAUUGGUUAGCUGUACCUGUUCUGUCAGUUUGUUCCAUGACUUGUUUUACUCAAGAGAGAUAAUCCGCUUAUCACCCCUGGGAGCUCCUCUUCAGGAGACAGUGUGAAAUAGUUUGCAAGACAAUUUGCUUCAGGGUUUAUUCUGUUCAGAAAGGAUGGAUGAGAAUUUCACUAGGACUGUUCUGAAAGCUAAAAAGGAACAUUUACAAGUCAAUGAUUCCCAGUCAGAGGGUCAUGCACCUUUCCAAAAUCUUAUUUGAAUGACUCCUAGAAUGUUUUAAGGUUUCUGUGGUAUUUCAAUUAUUUUUCUCAUAAAUAAUGAUUUGACUGCCUUAAUUAUUGAAACACAGAAUUAAGAAAUUAAACCAUUAAAACGGAAUUUCUUAGUUUAUAAUUUUGGCUAAUGAACCACAAAGCUCCAAAAAUUAAGAAAAAAAAAGUGUGUUUUUAUCUUAGAUUACUCUGAAUAGAUGAAAUUAAGCCCACAAUAUGGUAAAAAUUGCCUGUUAAAAUAUGAUCACAGAGCAUGCUUGAGGUUUCCUGUUGUUAUGUUUGCUUUUUGGUUUUGGGUUUUUUUCCCUUUCUAUAUCUAUGACUUAGGUAAAUUACUAGCAUUAAAAAAAAAAAGAAAAAUCCUGCAGGAGUUCACAAAAGAUUAUACUAAAUGAGAGCAUAACUUUAUCAUAUCAUUUUGUAGAAGUUCAGGAAGUAUGUGUGCACCUUUAGAUUUUGAAAUGGUGUAAAUUAUUCCUUCUGUUGGCCUAUGGAAAUGUGCCUACUGGGACUUUACUAGAACACCCUGAAAUUUUCUGUUCAGGUUCAAUCAUCUGCAGAGGAAGACAGUUUCCUACUUUAAGAACCUUGUUUAAAUGCACUCAAAGUAUGAGGCUCAAAGGACCACUGAAAGGUCAUAAAGUGAACCUUUAAGACGUGGCUGAACAGUGAACAGAGGUUUUUGGUAUUCAGGACAUGGGCUGGAGAGUAAUAAAAGAAAAAGGUAAGAGAACCUCACUCUCUUGGAAGAUGUGGGUGAGGUACUCCACUGCUCCUGUAGAAAGAUUGCAAUUUUCUGACUGAAAAUCCUCACAACAAUAAGGCCAACCACAGAGGAUGACAGAAGCACAGUGAGUACUCAUUCACUCAAAAAACCCUGACAUACUCUUAAAAGAAUCUCUGCUUGAGGUGAGUCUCAGUGCUUGAGGAUUGAGGAAUGAUUGAUAAAUGAUGUUUUGCAUGCAUACAAAACCUUCACAAGGAGAAGAUACAACAUGUCCAUGACAGUGCUAUUUAUAUCUAUAUAUCUCUUUUCUACUAGAAAUAAUGACGUCUUGGCAGUACCUAUCGAAUUCACACCCUUAAAAUGUAUGGAAAUAAUUUUCCCCAUAUAUUUUUUAAGUGGAUAAAAGAUUGGUAGGUGGACAACACAGCCCAUUGGCUGAGCAACAUCAUAGGACAGAUAGACCAAUCAUGAUCUACAACUGAAUCAAGAUAUUAAUCAUGUGCUUUUAAUUGUUAACUUCAAUCCUUACAUGGGUGCAAUUGGGCUUUUUAUAAUGUCUGUAAUGCUCUAACCAUGUCAUAAGAAAUCUUUGAACAAGGUAUAUUGCACUUUCUGAAACAAAUACAGAAGUUGGCUUGCAUAACUUAGUGGUGAUCACAAUAUGUAUAAUAGGAUUUACUGAAGCUUAAGAAGAUGAAGUAUUUCAUCUGCUCAGGGCAGAAUGCCAGAGUAAGAUAGCAUGCAACAAUGCAUAUCAUAAAAAUAACUAAUACAGUGUCCAAGAACAAAACUCUGAGUUUUUUUUUUAUAUUAUUAAGGAGUACAAAAAUACAGAAUAUGAGAAGAUAUUCAGAGAAACAAAAUUAUCAUACACAGAAUCACAGUUGUUUAUAUUGACCAUUUGGUUAUAUCAGCAAAGUAAAUAUUACUGUUUUCCAGAAUAACUAUACUAAUAUAUGCUAAUAACACAAGAACUAUUCCCAACAAAACAUUAACAGAAGUGGGCAAACAAUUACAAGAUGAGCAUUUUUCCCUGGAGAUUCAAUUUAUGUAAAUGUCUAAAUUUUGCUGUCAUACCCCUGUGAGCUGAACUCAAACCCUGCUGCUACAGUUUUGAUUCAGCCACCUAGAAACUAAUUCUCAUUGUCAUUUGAGGGUCCUACCUUGCUUUGCCUGCAGCUACUGGUCUUAAAGAUGCUCUAAGUCCCCUGCCAUAUUUGUCAGGCCCAUGUGAAUGGCUUGGAUGACUAAAACGUUUCACAUAGCAGUAGAUAUGCAUGUUAAAUCAAUCAAAUUUAUUCACCAUUUUAAAGAGACUAACCCAAGGCUACUUUUUAGAGAAGUUAUGCCCUAAAAAUAUCUGAAAAUGUAAAAAAAAGGGUAACUAUUAAAAAGUUUUAAACGUGACUCCAAGUCAUUAUUUGCAAAUCAGAAUAGAAAUGCCAGCUAUGGGAGAUCUCUACAGUUAAUGAAAAGUGGAAAUGAAUAUUUGUUUCAACUUAAUUAAGAGUCAUCUGGUCCACAACACAGGUAAGUGAACUACGGAAAAGACAUGAUUUUAAGAUUUUCAUUCUCUUUUAUUCAUCUAUAAAAAGAUUGCCACAAUAAAUCUGUAAUACUGAAGUAAUUCUCAGUUAACCUUGAGUUCCUCUAAAUUCUGAGCUACUUUCCCAAGAAAUAAUUUCAUAUUUACAUGCUGAAACUCAAAUGCUCUUGAAUUGUUUUCCAGCUUUUAGUUUAGUUUAUCCUUUGACACUGACAUUUUUUCUCUUAGCUAGAAAUCAGACACUAAAAUCCAGGCUGACAACCUCUCUGUGGCAAAAACCACUCAAUAAGAACAGGUCAUUUUAUCAGAUUAGGAAUUGUAACACUUAGAGUUCCCAAGGUAGCAAAGGUGAAUUGCAUUGAAAGUGAAAAUUAGGGAAAUGCAGCUCUUGAGCUAUUUUCAAAUUUUGAAGCCAGGAAGAACCAUAACUUUGGAAAGGUAGUUUUAGACCAAAUGCUAUGUACUCAUCUUUCAGAAUGUUUCAAAAGUUGUUUUGGGUAUUGUUUCUUAUUCUUUGGGUUUGUUUGGGUUUUGGGGUUAAUUAACAAUAUCAAUGAGAAAUGAAAAUAUAUUGUAUUUGUAGGCUCUGAAAUUUAGGAUCCAAGGCAUAACCUAAGGGGCAACUUAUGUUAAACAAAAUAAUGAAAAGGUAUUUUUUUACAGUUAUAAAUCUGUAGAAAACUCAUCAUGACAAAAUACAAAUGAAAAAUUCGUGACUUCCCAUUUUCAUCCCACCAUUUCUCCUUUAAAAAACAGACUCUUUUUUAAAUGUUUAAAUAUACUAUUGAGAAAUUGAAUUUUGAUAGGAAGUUUAUCAAAGUAUUUGAUAUGUGAUAAAGCAGAUUAUUAAGUAUUUUUUUAAUGACUACUAUGUAUGGAAAUAUUUACUAAAAUUGGUAAGAAUAUACAUGGGUAAGAAUUUUUGCUUUGGAAAAGAGAACUUUACAUAUCUACCUGUAAAUUCCAAUUUGGUUUCUUCAGCUCUGUGGAACAUUAGACUGCUUUUACCUCAAAUAUGGAAACAGCAAUUAUUUCCCCAUGUAUAGAGAUUCUAGAAACCCAUAAAAUGUUGGUUUCUUUAAAUGACUAAACUUAGGAUCAAUUUAUCAAUUAUAUGUAUAAAUUCCAAUUCAUGAAUUACUUGAUACUCAGAGCUGCAUUGAAAUGCAUCUAAAUGACAAAGGUCUUAUUUUAAAAUUAAAAUGAAGGUCAUGAUAAUUUAGUAUUGUAUUUGAGGUCAACAUAAACAUACGCUUGAAAGAAUAUACCUUAUAGGUAAAGGGAAAUAGAAUUUUCAUAACAUCUCCUUCAGUACAAAACAAUCUUCAUUUUCAUGUAGUUUUUUUCCAUUAUUGCACAUGAAAAAAAUUGAUCACAUUCCCUAUGAAAUUUUGAAAGUCAUUCUCUCAGGCACUUUCCAGUUCCAAUAUUAUGAUGUCGUCUUCUUUCUCAGCAUCACAUUAAUACCAAAACAAAAUCACUCAGGAUUUCCCAAUCCAAUAAAUGUUUCAUUAUAGUGCAUCUGCAUUAAGCGCAGCAGUCAAGCAUGCUCAGUUAAUAUUUUUAUUUAAAAUUAAUGUUUUAUGUAAACCCUAAUAUUAAUAUUUUUAAUGAAGUAAAUAUUCUGAAAUGUUAUAAAAAUAGAGCCUGACAGGCAUUACAUAUAUUCUUUGAAUCCACUGAGUGUUGAGUCAGCUCUAUACUUUGUAUUUUUUAUUUGGAAAGCAUUGAACAUCAGAAGACAGAUAUAAUAUAUUAUUCAUUGUAAUCUAACUAUUUAAUUACUUUAAAUAAACAGGUAAGACACCAUUCUCAUUUAAACUGAAGACUCAUUACAUUGGUGUUCUGUGUAAAGGGCCCUCAGAGAAAAUGAAGGUCAGGAUUUUAAUCUACAAUACAAAGAGAGCACAGACUAAUUUUUCAUAGCAUAACAAGUAAAAGAAUUAGGCACAUCCUUCCUACAAACAGGUACCACUGUAGAUCUGUUUUCAU